CAAGGUUGACGACCUUGGCCGUCGACCAUUAUUGAUAGGAGGUGUAAGUGGAAUUGUUGUUUCCUUGUUCCUUCUGGCAGCUUAUUACAAAAUUCUUGGUGGCCUCCCUCUGGUUGCUGUUGGGGCUUUAUUGCUAUAUGUUGGUUCCUAUCAGAUAUCGUUCGGUCCAAUCAGCUGGCUGAUGGUGUCGGAGAUUUUCCCACUUCGCACUAGAGGUCGUGGAAUUAGCAUUGCGGUUCUUACUAAUUUUGCUGCCAAUGCAUUAGUAACCUUUGCCUUUUCUCCAUUGAAGGAACUACUGGGACCCGAUAAUCUUUUUCUCCUUUUCGGGUUUAUUGCGCUGAUCUCGCUAUUGUUCGUCAUUUUCUAUGUGCCGG
rnacentral:misc_RNA from 1 species